rnacentral:tRNA from 1 species
GUUAGGUGGCAGGCUGUAGUCCUGCAAACAUGGGUUUAAGUCCUGUUUCUAUCA